CAGCCGCGUAAUUCCAGCUCCAAUAGCGUAUAUUAAAGUUGUUGUGGUUAAAAAGCUCGUAGUUGAACCUUGGGCCUGGCUGGCCGGUCCGCCUCACCGCGUGUACUGGUCCGGCCGGGCCUUUCCCUCUGUGGAACCCCAUGCCCUUCACUGGGUGUGGCGGGGAAACAGGACUUUUACUUUGAAAAAAUUAGAGUGCUCCAGGCAGGCCUAUGCUCGAAUACAUUAGCAUGGAAUAAUAGAAUAGGACGUGUGGUUCUAUUUUGUUGGUUUCUAGGACCGCCGUAAUGAUUAAUAGGGACAGUCGGGGGCAUCAGUAUUCAAUUGUCAGAGGUGAAAUUCUUGGAUUUAUUGAAGACUAACUACUGCGAAAGCAUUUGCCAAGGAUGUUUUCAUUAAUCAGGAACGAAAGUUAGGGGAUCGAAGACGAUCAGAUACCGUCGUAGUCUUAACCAUAAACUAUGCCGACUAGGGAUCGGACGAUGUUAUUUUUUGACUCGUUCGGCACCUUACG
rnacentral:rRNA from 1 species